rnacentral:misc_RNA from 1 species
AAGUCGUAACAAGGUUUCCGUAGGUGAACCUGCGGAAGGAUCAUUAUCAAAUUUUCCAUCUUCAACCCUUUGUGCACUGUUGACUUGCGUGAUAAUGCGUGCGCGGCGUCCUUGGGCGCUUGCUUGUGCUUAUCACCCAAAUCAUAUCCAACCUGUUUUGUUUGCAAGGAUUCUUGAAGAAUUCUGUUCGUCUGAAACUAUAUUUCAAUUCAUUUAAUGAAAAAUAUAACUUUUAACAACGGAUCUCUUGGCUCUC